CGCCCCCACCAGCCCGGCGCCCCCUCCAGCCCAGUGCCUCCCCAAGCCCGGUGCCUCCCACCAGCGUGACAAGCCAUGGGUCCCCCACUUCAAGGCCCACAUUUUUUUAUUAGCUGAGGUCGUGGUAGCUGUUGUACCACCUCACUAAGCGCGUCUUUUUCUGUAGUUUUGAUGCUGACGUCUUGCCCAUUCCUGUGCCCCGACCACCCAGCUGCGUGGAGCAGCCCCCACUCUCUGUGGAUAAAAGAACUUUCUUCCUACAAGACGGUCAUUCCUGCGUCUGUGUGUUACCCUCCCUGAUUACAACAAAUCCUAGGCUCAUUUUAAAAAGAUACAGGCCCCACAUUUAGGAGGCUGCAGCCCAAACCUCUGCAGCCAGCAUCCUAUGUCUUCGCUGCAGUUUAUGGCAAGACCCUGGAGACCUGGUGAGAGCACAGCCCUGGUGUCCUCCUCCGUGGCCCCCCUCAUCCCCCUCUGUCAGGUGUGUAGCCCCCACUCCAAGCGUGAUCUUCAGCCCCCGGCCCUGUCCCUCAGCAGCACAGGUGAUAAGCCCCUCCGUCCGGAAGCACUGUCUUUACUUGGCCACCAAGACCCCCAACUUGACCGCACCCCCACUUGCCAGCCAUCCCCUCUGCCCUGCCUGUGCUUCCUACCACUGUGCAGGCCCAGCUUGUGCCCCCCUUGGGGCUGAGCCCCGGCGGGCACCCAUGUCCUCCAGCUGUGAGCACUUUCCUCUAUGGUGUUUGCUCUUCCCUCUGGGACAUGGCCAUGGGGCCCCUCAGAAUGGCACAUAUUGGGCACCACGUGACUUCAGGUAGAAUGACUGAGGGACCAGCCCAGCACAGCCAGGCAGGGCAGCGAGAGGCCGGGCAGGACACCCUCCGACCACUCUGAGGACAGGGAUGGCUGCAGAGCCAAUGCAGGCUCACACGCAGGGACAGACAGCUGGAGGCUGAGCCCAGGCGCAGGACUUCAGAGCCACCAGCCACAACCACACCCAAGGCCAUGGGGUAGACAAGGGCAGUGUGGACUGAGCGGUCAGGGUCCCCAUGAGAUAAACAGGAACCACUCAGAAACACUUCUCUCCUGCCAGGAGCGGUGGCCUACGCCUGUAAUCCCGGCACUUUGGGAGGUAGAGGCAGGCAGAUCACUUGAGCCCAGGAGUUUGGGACCAGCCUGGGCGGCAUGGUGAAACCCUGCGUCUACUAAAAAUGAAAAUACAAAAAUUAGCUGGGCAUGGUGGCACGCGCCUGUAGUCUCAGCCACUCAGGAGGCUGAGAUGGGAGGAUUAGUUGAUCCCGGAAGAUCGAGGCUGCAGUCCCAGCCACUCAGGAGGCUGAGGUGGGAGGAUGACUUGAUCCCGGAAGAUCAAGGCUGCAGUCCCAGCCACUCAGGAGGCUGAGGUGGGAGGAUGACUUGAUCCUGGAAGAUGGAGGCUGCAGUGAGCUGACUGUGCCACUGAGUGACAGAGCAACAUCUUGUCUCAAAAAAAAAAAAAAAAAAAAGAGAAACCCUCCUGUCCAACCAAGGCGGGACUUCAGAGGCCGUAGGACACAUUCCCUGGGCUCCAGGGGGAGGUGCGACCACCACAGGCCCCAGAGGUUGUGAUCCUGACCUGGCCGGAGUCCCAACCAGCCUCAUCCCUCAAGGCAGGGUCAGCCAGGACCAGGUGAAGGAGCCCUGAAGUAGUGCAGAAAGGGAAGCAGAGGCCAGGAAGGCUGAGCCAGCCGGAACAGAAUAGGCAAGCGUAUGAGACACUGCACUUCCAUCUCAUUAAUCGUUUUUUCUUUUUCAUAUAGGGUCUCACUCUGUUGCCCAGGCUGGAGUGCAGUAACAAGAUCAUAGCUCACUUGGCCUCAUAGCCUUGGUCUCCAGGCUCAAGCGAUCCUCCUGUCUCGGCCUCCCUUCUAUGUAGCUGGGACUACAGGCACAUGCCACUACACCCAGCUGCUUUUUUUAUUUUUUGUAGUGGUGGGGCCUCCCUAUGUUGCCCAGGCUGGUCUUGAUCUCCCAGGCUCAUGCAAUCCUCCCAUCCAGGCCUCCCAAAGCGCUGGGAUUACAGGCAUGAGCCACUGCAUCCAGCUGCACCACCUCUUAAUAAACAUUAGUUUUGGCCGGGCACAGUGGUUCAUGCCUGUAAUCCCAGCACUUUGGGAGGCCGAGGCGGGUGGAUCACCUGAGGUCAGGAGUUCAAGACCAGCCUGACCAAUACGAUGAAACCCCAUCUCUACUAAAAAUACAAAAAUUGGCCGGGCAUGGUGGCGCACUGCUGUAAUCCCAGCUACUCAGAAGGCUGAGGCAGGAGAAUCGCUUGAACCCGGGAGGCGGAGGUUGCAGUGAGCCGAAACUGCGCCACUGUACUCCAGCCUGGGUGACAAGAGCAAGACUCUGUCUUAAAAAAAAAAAAAUUUCUAGUUUUGUUGAAGUUUAUUGCACCUUCCAGUAAGCGCACUUGGUCUCACGCGCCAGGUGACCUCUGCUGUUUCCUGUGAGGCCAUCUUCGCCUCUGUCUUCCUGGGAAGCAAACUGCACUGUCCUUACACAGAUGCUGGCUCGUCCAGGGUGCAGGGCCCUACUGCCCCAGCCAGGCCGACACCGUGGGCCUCCAGGCUGUUCCGUGGGUCUGGGGCAGGUCGCAAGACAGAAGGGAAAAGCUGCAGCUGGCCUUAAGACAGGAAGUCUAUGGGGACAGAGGGGAUGGGGGUCUUGAGGAUGACUCGGGCUCCUGAAGGCAGGGGAGGGAGGCAGGAGAGUGUCAGAGAGGCAGUGUUGUGAGGACCUCCAUGCCUGCUCUGAGCUGGGGGCCUCAGGGCCACCUGUGUCUGCUGGUGGGGGGCGGGGGGGGUGCCAUGAGGCCGACCCUCCUUCCGCCAGGCUGAGGCACGUCCCCCGGACACAGAUGGCUCUUUGUCAGGGAUGAGCUGAGCUUGCUGAGCAGCCUCUGGAACAAAGCCCCUCUGUCCAUGCUGUGCCUCCCCACCCGGAGCACCACCUCCCGGGAAGGAGCAGAGCCCCGGGCUCCCAUCCGGCGCACCCACCAGGCACAGCCUUGGCCGGAGG
rnacentral:lncRNA from 10 species